GACAGCAGUCGCCGCGGGAAUACAGAGGGUGCGAGCGUUAAUCGGAUUUACUGGGCGUAAAGCGUGCGUAGGCGGCUUCUUAAGUCGGAUGUGAAAUCCCUGAGCUUAACUUAGGAAUUGCAUUCGAUACUGGGAAGCUAGAGUAUGGGAGAGGAUGGUAGAAUUCCAGGUGUAGCGGUGAAAUGCGUAGAGAUCUGGAGGAAUACCGAUGGCGAAGGCAGCCAUCUGGCCUAAUACUGACGCUGAGGUACGAAAGCAUGGGGAGCAAACAGGAUUAGAUACCCCUGUAGUCCCUGUCUCUUAUAA
rnacentral:rRNA from 1 species